rnacentral:rRNA from 1 species
AACGCUGGCGGCAGGCUUAACACAUGCAAGUCGAGCGCCCCGCAAGGGGAGCGGCAGACGGGUGAGUAACACGUGGGAACGUACCCUUUACUACGGAAUAACGCAGGGAAACUUGUGCUAAUACCGUAUGUGCCCUUUUGGGGAAAGAUUUAUCGGUAAGGGAUCGGCCCGCGUUGGAUUAGCUAGUUGGUGGGGUAAAGGCCUACCAAGGCGACGAUCCAUAGCUGGUCUGAGAGGAUGAUCAGCCACAUUGGGACUGAGACACGGCCCAAACUCCUACGGGAGGCAGCAGUGGGGAAUAUUGGACAAUGGGCGCAAGCCUGAUCCAGCCAUGCCGCGUGAGUGAUGAAGGCCCUAGGGUUGUAAAGCUCUUUCACCGGAGAAGAUAAUGACGGUAUCCGGAGAAGAAGCCCCGGCUAACUUCGUGCCAGCAGCCGCGGUAAUACGAAGGGGGCUAGCGUUGUUCGGAAUUACUGGGCGUAAAGCGCACGUAGGCGGAC